GAUCUGGGCACUGUCUCAACGAGAGACUCGGUGAAAUUAUAGUACCUGUGAAGAUGCAGGUUACCCGCGACAGGACGGAAAGACCCCGUGGAGCUUUACUGCAGCCUGAUAUUGAAUUUUGGUACAGCUUGUACAGGAUAGGUAGGAGCCUUUGAAGCCGGAGCGCCAGCUUCGGUGGAGGCAUUGGUGGGAUACUACCCUGGCUGUAUUGAAAUUCUAACCCGCGCCCCUGAUCGGGGCGGGAGACAGUGUCAGGCGGGCAGUUUGACUGGGGCGGUCGCCUCCUAAAAAGUAACGGAGGCGCCCAAAGGUUCCCUCAGAAUGGUUGGAAAUCAUUCGCAGAGUGUAAAGGCACAAGGGAGCUUGACUGCGAGACCUACAAGUCGAGCAGGGACGAAAGUCGGGCUUAGUGAUCCGGUGGUUCCGCAUGGAAGGGCCAUCGCUCAACGGAUAAAAGCUACCCCGGGGAUAACAGGCUUAUCUCCCCCAAGAGUCCACAUCGACGGGGAGGUUUGGCACCUCGAUGUCGGCUCAUCGCAUCCUGGGGCUGUAGUCGGUCCCAAGGGUUGGGCUGUUCGCCCAUUAAAGCGGUACGCGAGCUGGGUUCAGAACGUCGUGAGACAGUUCGGUCCCUAUCCGUCGUGGGCGCAGGAAAUUUGAGAGGAGCUGUCCUUAGUACGAGAGGACCGGGAUGGACGCACCGCUGGUGUACCAGUUGUCUUGCCAAAGGCAUCGCUGGGUAGCUAUGUGCGGAAGGGAUAAGUGCUGAAAGCAUCUAAGCAUGAAGCCCCCCUCGAGAUGAGAUUUCCCAUAGCGUCAAGCUAGUAAGAUCCCUGAAAGAUGAUCAGGUUGAUAGGUCUGAGGUGGAAGCGUGGUGACACGUGGAGCUGACAGAUACUAAUAGAUCGAGGACUUAACCAC
rnacentral:rRNA from 1 species